CCUACGGGAGGCAGCAGUGGGGAAUUUUGGACAAUGGGCGCAAGCCUGAUCCAGCCAUGCCGCGUGUGGGAAGAAGGCCUUCGGGUUGUAAACCACUUUUGUCAGGGAAGAAACGGCCUUUUCUAAUACAGGGGGCUAAUGACGGUACCUGAAGAAUAAGCACCGGCUAACUACGUGCCAGCAGCCGCGGUAAUACGUAGGGUGCAAGCGUUAAUCGGAAUUACUGGGCGUAAAGCGUGCGCAGGCGGCUUUGCAAGACAGAUGUGAAAUCCCCGGGCUCAACCUGGGAACUGCAUUUGUGACUGCAUGGCUAGAGUACGGUAGAGGGGGAUGGAAUUCCGCGUGUAGCAGUGAAAUGCGUAGAUAUGCGGAGGAACACCGAUGGCGAAGGCAAUCCCCUGGACCUGUACUGACGCUCAUGCACGAAAGCGUGGGGAGCAAACAGGAUUAGAUACCCUGGUAGUCCACGCCCUAAACGAUGUCAACUGGUUGUUGGACGGCUUGCUGUUCAGUAACGAAGCUAACGCGUGAAGUUGACCGCCUGGGGAGUACGGCCGCAAGGUUGAAACUUAAAUGAAUUGAGG
rnacentral:rRNA from 1 species